GAGGGUAUAGCUCAAUGGUAGAGUUCAGGCUUAGUAUGCAUGAAGUCCUGGGUUCAAUCCCGAGUUACCGCCA
rnacentral:tRNA from 1 species